rnacentral:rRNA from 1 species
UCGGGAAUUUUGGGCAAUGGGCGAAAGCCUGACCCAGCAACGCCGCGUGAGGGAUGAAGGCCCUCGGGUCGUAAACCUCUGUCGGGAGGGGAGAACGGUUGCGAUUCGAACAGGAUCGUGACCUGACGGUACCUCCAAAGGAAGCACCGGCUAACUCCGUGCCAGCAGCCGCGGUAAUACGGAGGGUGCAAGCGUUGUUCGGAAUCAUUGGGCGUAAAGCGCGUGUAGGCGGCUUGGCAAGUCGGGUGUGAAAUCCCGGGGCCCAACCCGGAACUGCAUUCGAAACUGCCUGGCUAGAGUCCCGGAGAGGAAGGCGGAAUUCCCGGUGUAGAGGUGAAAUUCGUAGAUAUCGGGAGGAACACCAGCGGCGAAGGCGGCCUUCUGGACGGUGACUGACGCUGAGACGCGAAAGCGUGGGGAGCGAAACAGGAUUAGAUACCCUGGUAGUCCACGCCGUAAACGUUGGGUGCUAGGUGUCGCGGGUAUUGACCCCUGCGGUGCCGACGCUAACGCAUUAAGCACCCGCUGGGAACG